UCAUUUGGUUCGUUCGAAACCAGAGGGAACGGUUUCGAACCCCCGUCCACCCGAGCCCUGAUCGCAGCGGGUCUUCCCCUCGGCGCUGCGGCAUUUUCCUCGCGAACAGCGGCUAUAGGCGAACGGCGGCGGGGUCUCCCUCCGGAGAUCAUUUCCUCGAAUCUUCGACGUGAAACAUAAUCUGUGUUGGGGUGAGGGAUUCGUGGUCGUCAGCAGAGGGAUUCCAUUAGUGCAAUCAUGGAUGUUGAUUCACAGCCAAACAUAGAAGAAACAAUUCUAGUAGGUGAUGACCUUAUGCUGGGGCUCCCUUCACCUAUCAUUCCACCGGAGAUUGCAUCUCAUGUUCUUGAAGGUGUUGAUUUAUGUGAUGGAGUGCUAAGGAAUCUUUUUUUAUGCUUGCAAAUCAAUGAUAUUGAACCAUUUUGCCAAGAUGAGAUUGUUUUGUAUCGAGAGUGUGCUGAGAAAAGGGAUAAAGAGCUAAGACAGAGACUUUCAGAUAGUGAACAUAAAUUGGGGCUGUCCAUGCCCAUUGAAGAAGCAAAGGAAAGAGCUGCUCAACUUCAAUCAGAAGUUACAUCUCUAGAAAGGCACAUGAUUCUUGCAAGUGGAAUUCAAGGCAUGGAAGGAUUUCGUCAGCGCUGGAGCUUGCAUGGACGUCUUGAGGAUACCAAAAGAAGAAUGGAAGCUUUAAACCAGGGAAUAGAAAAGAGGAAACCUGACAAGAUCCACGGAGAGCCAGUUAGAAAAAAAUGGUUUUUUUGGUAGAUUUUUUUGCUCUCUUGAGAUUUCUGAUUCUCAAGAAGGUGUAGAAACAGGACUUCCUGAUAGACUCUGAAGGCCCACUUCACCUUCCACCGAAGAACCGAGUCAACUCUAAGCAAAUCUUCACUGCUGGAAAGGGUGCCUCCACCACCAACCCUAACCAAACAUCAUAACAAUGGCUCCUAAUUCCUACAAGUAAUGCAAUAGGAAAACAACUCCCUUGUCGUGGGAGAAGGCUCGUCCUGCAAGCAUUGAUGCAAUUUUCCUGGUGAUCUAGUGGGUGUAAUAACUCCCACAUAGAUGCACUGCCAACUGUCUUUUGAGAGCUUGAAUAAGGACCUGCAUCCACUGUCUCCACA